rnacentral:rRNA from 1 species
CAGCAGCCGCGGUAAUACGAAGGGGGCUAGCGUUGUUCGGAUUUACUGGGCGUAAAGCGCACGUAGGCGGAUCGAUCAGUCAGGGGUGAAAUCCCAGAGCUCAACUCUGGAACUGCCUUUGAUACUGUCGAUCUGGAGUAUGGAAGAGGUGAGUGGAAUUCCGAGUGUAGAGGUGAAAUUCGUAGAUAUUCGGAGGAACACCAGUGGCGAAGGCGGCUCACUGGUCCAUUACUGACGCUGAGGUGCGAAAGCGUGGGGAGCAAACAGGAUUAGAGACCCCGGUAGUCCCUGUCUCUUAUAC